AUCUUAGCAAUUUUUGACUUUUCACAACUUAUAAGAGGUGUUUUAUUGACUAACCACCUCAUCCAAUUCUUUAUCGGUCUUCUUCGUCUAGAAUAUUCCCUUAGUCUACCUUUUUCCAUGUCUUCUCUGCUGGGUCUCACUUUCACAGUGUUCAGGAGGACAUUAUUGGAAGAAAUGGUACAAUCUUUUUGGUGCAGAAUCAGAUUCUACAUGCAUCCAUCUUGAUCUAGGCCUCAUUGUGGUCAUUUCUGGUAUUACUUACAGUUUUUGAGAUAUCAGUAAUGUUGGGGAUGCAUUAAUCGAUCAUGUUCUGCAAACAGUAUUAGAUUUCUCAUAGGACACUUAAAAAAGAAGUAGGAUAAGACUCACUUUGUGCAGUGAAUGCAGCGGAUACAAGCUCAAGUUUGUCAUUUAUAUGGACAUGUCAACUCUUACUUCUCUUGUCCAAAGUUGAUGCAUCAUGGGUUUCCGCUGAUAAACUAGCUCUUGUCAUUCAGGAAAUGACUAGACCUCAACAACACGCAGCAAAGAAACAAAAUUGCUUCUCAUUCUCAUAUUUGAUGAUUAGUUGUCUUGGCUGCUACUUUUAGGUGCUACAUUUAGGACCACUUCAUUUUGUUUUUAAUAACUGCAAGGAUUGGAUCAAUACAUGUACUUCAUCCGGUAAAUCUGUGUGUUGGCAUUUGAAGUUUUACCAUUACAGUGUUCAGAUAAAUCUUGUACCUUCUCAAUGUUUAAGAAAAUUUUGGUUUCAAUUUGAGAAAUGAAACUUAAGAUUUCUGUUA